GGAGUACGGCCGCAAGGUUAAAACUCAAAUGAAUUGACGGGGGCCCGCACAAGCGGUGGAGCAUGUGGUUUAAUUCGAUGCAACGCGAAGAACCUUACCUGGUCUUGACAUCCACAGAACUUUCCAGAGAUGGAUUGGUGCCUUCGGGAACUGUGAGACAGGUGCUGCAUGGCUGUCGUCAGCUCGUGUUGUGAAAUGUUGGGUUAAGUCCCGCAACGAGCGCAACCCUUAUCCUUUGUUGCCAGCGGUNNGGCCGGGAACUCAAAGGAGACUGCCAGUGAUAAACUGGAGGAAGGUGGGGAUGACGUCAAGUCAUCAUGGCCCUUACGACCAGGGCUACACACGUGCUACAAUGGCAUAUACAAAGAGAAGCGACCUCGCGAGAGCAAGCGGACCUCAUAAAGUAUGUCGUAGUCCGGAUUGGAGUCUGCAACUCGACUCCAUGAAGUCGGAAUCGCUAGUAAUCGUAGAUCAGAAUGCUACGGUGAAUACGUUCCCGGGCCUUGUACACACCGCCCGUCACACCAUGGGAGUGGGUUGCAAAAGAAGUAGGUAGCUUAACCUUCGGGAGGGCGCUUACCACUUUGUGAUUCAUGACUGGGGUGAAGUCGUAACAAGGUAACCGUAGGGGAACCUGCGGUUGGAUCACCUCCUUACCUUAAAGAA
rnacentral:rRNA from 1 species